rnacentral:rRNA from 1 species
AAAAAUCCGGCAGCUCUUAACUCCGAGGUGUGAUGACGAGGCUCCACGCGAGCCGAAGUGAAUAACGCCCCGCUUCCAGGAAAAGCCUCUAAGCUUCAGAUCACAUUGGACCGUACCGUAAACCGACACUGGUGGGUGAGCAGAUAAUCUGCCAAGGCGCUUGAGAGAACUCGGGUUAAGGAACUCUGCAAAUUGAUACCGUAACUUCGGAAGAAGGUAUGCCUUCGACGGUGUAGGGAUUUACUCCCGAAGCUGUUGAAGGUCGCAGGUAAUCGGUGGCUGCGACUGUUUAUCAAAAACACAGGACUCUGCGAACACGCAAGUGGAAGUAUAGGGUCUGACGCCUGCCCGGUGCCGGAAGGUUAAUUGAUGGGGUUAGCCGCAAGGCGAAGCUCUUGAUCGAAGCCCCGGUAAACGGCGGCCGUAACAAUAACGGUCCUAAGGUAGCGAAAUUCCUUGUCGGGUAAGUUCCGACCUGCACGAAUGGCGUAACGCUGGCCACACUGUCUCGACCCGAGACUCAGUGAAGUUGAAAUCGCUGUGAAGAUGCGGCGUUCCCGCGGCAAGACGGAAAGACCCCGUGAACCUUCACUACAGCUUUACACUGAACUUUGAACCUUUCUGUGUAGGAUAGGUGGGAGGCUAUGAAACUUGGGCGCUAGCUCGAGUGGAGCCAACCUUGAAAUACCACCCUGGGAUGUUUGAAGUUCUAACCUUGGUCCGUAAUCCGGAUUGGGGACAGUGUAUGGUGGGUAGUUUGACUGGGGCGGUCUCCUCCCAAAGAGUAACGGAGGAGUGCAAUGGUACGCUCAGCGCGGUCGGUCAUCGCGCUCUAGAGUGCAAAGGCAUAAGCGUGCUUAACUGUGAGACAGACACGUCGAACAGGUACGAAAGUAGGUCUUAGUGAUCCGGUGGUUCUGUAUGGAAGGGCCAUCGCUCAACGGAUAAAAGGUACUCCGGAUAACAGGCUUAUUCCUCCCAAGAGUCCACAUCGACGGAGGAGUUUGGCACCUCGAUGUCGGCUCAUCACAUCCUGGGGCUGUAGCAGGUCCCAAGAGUAUGGCUGUUCGCCAUUUAAAGUGGUACGCGAGCUGGGUUCAGAACGUCGUGAGACAGUUCGGUCCCUAUCUGCCGUGGGCGUUGGAAACUUGAGGGUGAGCUGUCCUUAGUACGAGAGGACCGGGAUGGACGUAUCUCUGGUGUUCCGGUUGUCACGCCAGUGGCACUGCCGGGUAGCUAUAUACGGACGGGAUAAGCGCUGAAAGCAUCUAAGCGCGAAGCCCCCCCCAAGAUUAGGUUUCCCUGGGAACUCGAUUCCCCUAAAGGGCCGUCGGAGACUACGACGUUGAUAGGCU